UACGUAGGGGGCAAGCGUUAUCCGGAUUUACUGGGUGUAAAGGGAGCGUAGGUGGAUUGUUAAGUCAGUUGUGAAAGUUUGCGGCUCAACCGUAAAAUUGCAGUUGAAACUGGCAGUCUCGAGUUGGAGAGAAGUAUGCGGAAUGCGCGGUGUAGCGGUGAAAUGCAUAGAUAUCGCGCAGAACUCCGAUUGCGAAGGCAGCAUGCCGGCUCCACACUGACGCUGAGGCACGAAAGUGUGGGUAUCAAACAGG
rnacentral:rRNA from 1 species